CGGUAUCGCGUGUGGUAAGUUUCACCCACAUGGUAAGUUUCGCAACAAGCAGCAGCGUCGUUUGAAGCAACAAAUUUUAUGAUGUUUUCUCAAAAUACAAUUGGUAAUUUCUACUUUAUUUCUUCCAACGAGGAAAUGUUAAAAACGAUUCGUGAGGAAAUCAUUAAGAAUGGGUCAUCAAAAAACGUGCCCCGCCCCCCGGAUUCCGCGGAUGCAUCGGCUCCAGAAGUGGCCAAAAAGAGGCAAGAAGUGGCCAAAAAGAGGCAAGAAGUGGCCAAAAAGAGGCCAGAAGUUUCGCCGGAGAGGAUCGCGGUAACUCCUCGGAGGUCGCCCAGUCCCCUUGGAGAAUUAAGUAAUGUAAUGAGUCCUUUGCCGAAUCUUCCGAGCCCCCCCCGUGCAGUGGAGGAUAAUUUAAUUAAUUUAUCGGCCACGCCUCCUCGCAAAAGAAGGAGGUUCCACCCCACAAUUUUUUGGAAGCCGGAAUCGCACAAGGACGGCAGUGGUCGAGAGUGGACCACAUUAAAAUAUCAAUGCGAAAUUUGUUUUAAAAUUUGCCAAAAACCGAAGGCAUAUGAGAACCACAUAAUGUUGUGCAAAAAUGAUUGCAAAACAGUGGCUUGCAAGUGGUGCCCCUAUGUCCAAAAGUCCUCCAAUUUGGGAAAUCACUGGAAGAGGUGCAUAGGGGGGAAAAAAUUGUAUAUCCCCAUUGGGGAACAAUUGAAGCAGCGGAAAAUGUGGUCCGAAAUGAAGGACACGUCGGGAUCGAAAUCGCAAGUGGAAAGUGUGGCCUCCACCCAAGAUUUUGGAUUUUCGGAAACGAUGCAGUUCGUCUUCAAUUCCAUUGAUGAAGACUUUUGAAAAAAUAUUGCCCACGGAGAAGUUACUUCCUUUCGUGUUUUAUUUUACCUCUCGCUGAAAACCCGAUCCAGCUUUCACAUAAUCCUGCCCAGCUUCGACAUUAAUCUUGUCCAGCUUCGACAUUAAUCUUGUCCAAGCUUCGACAUAAUCUUGUCCAGCUUACAACAACUAUUUUACAGAAUUUCCC